GGUCAAGUUAUUAAGGGCAUAAGGCGGAUGCCUUGGCAUUAGGAGCCGAUGAAGGACGUGGUAAGCUGCGAUAAGCUUCGGGGAGGUGCAAGCAACCUUUGAGCCGAAGAUUUCCGAAUGGGGAAACCCACUUGGGGUAAUGCUCAAGUAUCUUCAGGUGAAUACAUAGCCUGUUGAGGGGAACUCGGGGAACUGAAACAUCUAAGUACCCGAAGGAAGAGAAAGAAAAGAUCGAUUCCCUAAGUAGCGGCGAGCGAACGGGGAUUAGCCCAAACCAGAGAGGUUUUCCUCUCUGGGGUU
rnacentral:ncRNA from 1 species